rnacentral:rRNA from 1 species
CAGUAGCCACGGUAAUACGUAGGUGGCAAGCGUUGUCCGGAAUUAUUGGGCGUAAAGGGCUCGCAGGCGGUUUCUUAAGUCUGAUGUGAAAGCCCCCGGCUCAACCGGGGAGGGUCAUUGGAAACUGGGAAACUUGAGUGCAGAAGAGGAGAGUGGAAUUCCACGUGUAGCGGUGAAAUGCGUAGAGAUGUGGAGGAACACCAGUGGCGAAGGCGACUCUCUGGUCUGUAAUUGACGCUGAGGAGCGAAAGCGUGGGGAGCGAACAGGAUUAGAUACCCCCGUAGUCCCUGUCUCUUAUAC